GCUUCACACAACAGGUUUAAUGAGAUUGGCGUUGUAUAAGGAGGUCGUACAUCAAUUUUUUUGGGUCCAAGAUUAUUGUACAACAGUUUUAAGGAUUUGUCUGUUGUCUGAAUGUAAAAAAAAAUUCCCCCUCACCUUGCUCAAAUUUGGGUCGAAAUUUUGACUCACCUUGCACAACAGUAUUGUUGUAUAUGUUGUAUGAGAGUAAGUUGCAAAAUAACAUACAACGCAUUUUUUUGUUUCCGUUGUGCAAGUUUGGAAGAAAAUCACAUGUACCCCAAAAUGUGAGUGAGUAGCCCCAAAAAGGCCAAUAUUUGAGUGAAAUGCUGGUACACGAUAGUAAGCUCCUACAACGGAAUGACUUAUUUUUGUUGUGUGAAUGUGCGAUGGUAAUCCUAGGCGGGAAAAAUGAGUUUGUCCCUUUGCACUAGGCGGGAGAUUUGCUAGUUGGAUCUAUAAGCUGAAGUUUCAUUGUAUAUUAUCAGACAACCAAAAUUAUUUUGUGUGUUGUCUGAAUUGGUUAUACAAAUAAAAAAUUAAACUUAAAUGCACUUUGUCUACCACACUCUGACAAGAAUUAAUAGCUAGGGCAUACAUACUGGGUUCCCAUCUUCGACAAAACAGCAAAACUUAAAUGUACUUGGCCGUUUUCAACACUGGGGUAGCUAGUCUUCGACAAAAACCUGAAAACUCAUAUCUCAAAGCAAAACCCCCGCCGUGUUCUUCUCUUUACGGAUCGAACCCAUCUUCAUCUCCAAACCCAUCUUCUUCUCAUAACCCAUCUUCUUAGAACACCAUCUUCUGAAAACACGGGAUUAGGGUUUUCAAUUUGGGGAUUUGGAAGAGGAGGAAAAGGGGGGAGGGGGGAGUUUCUCGGUACAUUAAUCGAUAAAUCUGGAUGAAGAAGAUGAGGAGGAAGACGAAGACUCAACAAUAACAAGAACAACGAGCUGGGUUACUUGGAACAGUAGCGGAAGAAGAUCAUCGUCGAUAUCCUCUGCCCGAGGUGGUCUGUUUGUCAAGGGAGAAAUCAAAGUUCUAAGAACAACAAAUCUGGGUCGAAAUUUGCUUCUGAUUCUAAAAGUGGAUCUCGAAAGAAAAUCGAAUGUCAAUGCUGUAGGAUACCAUUCCCAUUUUGUUGAACUUCAGAGUCAAGGCAGCCAUUAAUUACCAGACUCUCUCUCCAAAGGAUUUAGCAAAGUCUGCUUUCAGAAGGGGGCUGGUCGAACUUGCUGGUAUUUUUUUCUUCUGUUUGCAGAGUGCCCUAGCAAUGAAGUUCAUCAGCCUUUGGACCUUGCUCUUGUCUUCGUUGGUACAGAGUUGCAAUCUUCGGAUAUUUCUGCAAGCAAACAUGCUGAUCCAGCUCUUGUGGACUUACUCAAAGUCUCUUUUACACAAUCAAAUUUCUCCAUGGCAUUUCCCGAUAUUGCUGCAUCAGAGAAGGAUGCUAUGGAAAGUUCUUUAGUGUCAGGGAUGUCAGAGAUCUGUGGGCAGAAUUUUGGAUUCAAUAAUGUUCGUUUCUCGGAGUCAUGCUCUAUGGACAGUGAUAAUGUUCAAAAGCUUUCAGACCUGCAUUCGGUCCAUCUUCUUACUUCUGUCAUUUUGUCAUGUUGCUCAUGGGUAGUGUGGCUUUUGAUGUGGGAGUAUUGUAUGCAGCUUCUUGAAACAAGUUGAUGUGGUGGCAGAAGCAGAAGAAAAAAAGAGGAGCAGCAGGAGCAAGCAUUAGUCGUGGCCGAAGUGGGCAAGCAAUCAUAAAUAGUCCAAUAGACAAUGAUCCAUUUCUAGCACACUAAUGUCUUUGUCCCGGAUGCAAUGUUAAACAAUAAAUUGUCACAAAUUCAUGAUUUUGUGGAACAAUGACUAAUACGAAUUGUAUCUUGGUGGAUCCAAUGUACUUUGA